rnacentral:rRNA from 1 species
AUGUCUCGUUUAUGGAAAGCCCCCGUCCCCUUAAAAACUAAGAUCUUUGUUUGGCAAUUACUACGGGACCGACUCCCCUCGGGGACUGAGGUACGUAAGCGGAACGAACCUGGUGAUGGUAUUUGCCCGUUAUGUGUGGUACCAGAGACCGAGACUCAUAUCCUCUUCUCAUGUACCGCGGCGAGGGUACUCUGGACAUAUGUCCGCGAGGCGUUGGGGCCUGAAUGGGAGGCCCUAAAUCUCGUUGAGUUCCUCCAGCAUAGAGCUUUACCGCCGUCACGGCAUCGUCGCCUAUUUUGGCUCAUUUUUCCACGGCGCUGUCGUGGACUCUUUGGACGACUAGGAAUAAGAUAG